GACCCCCCCACCAGAUAGAAUCUAUUCUAUAGUAAUCGUCUCCUUUCUGAGCUUCUCAAAAAAGCCACAGAAUCCCCAACCUGGUUGAUGAGCAGUAGCCUCGAUGCCCCGGAGUGAGGCCUUGUAACGUUUGCUUCGGCGAACGUGGCGAUGAUCUUCAGCCAACCAGUUGUGUACUUCGGUCGCGCUGGAAGGCAGGGUGUUGAUGGCAAUCUGACAGGC
rnacentral:snoRNA from 1 species